rnacentral:rRNA from 1 species
GAUGAACGCUGGCGGCGUGCUUAACACAUGCAAGUCGAACGGAAAGGCCGAAGCUUGCUUCGGUACUCGAUUGGCGAACGGGUGAGUAACACGCGGGUGAUCUGCCCUGUACUUCGGGAUAAGCUUGCGAAACUGGGUCUAAUACCGGAUAUGACAAUCUCUAGGAUGGGGUUGUGGAAAGCUUUUGCGGUAUGGGAUGAGCUCGCGGCCUAUCAGCUUGUUGGUGGGGUAUUGGCCUACCAAGGCGUCGACGGGUAGCCGGCCUGAGAGGGUGUACGGCCACAUGGGGACUGAGAGAGGGCGCAGACUCGUACGGGAGGCAAUGGUGGGGAGUAUUGCACAAUGGGCGCAAGCCUGAUGCGGCGACGCCGGGUGGGGAAUGACGGCCUUCGGGUUAUGAACUCCUUUCGCAACCGACGAAGCUGUUGUGACGGUAGGUUAAGAAGAAGCACCGGCUAACUACGUG